GGGAAACUGCCCGAUGGAGGGGGAUAACUACUGGAAACGGUAGCUAAUACCGCAUAACGUCGCAAGACCAAAGUGGGGGACCUUCGGGCCUCACACCGUCGGAUGUGCCCAGAUGGGAUUAGCUAGUAGGUGGGGUAAUGGCUCACCUAGGCGACGAUCCCUAGCUGGUCUGAGAGGAUGACCAGCCACACUGGAACUGAGACACGGUCCAGACUCCUACGGGAGGCAGCAGUGGGGAAUAUUGCACAAUGGGCGCAAGCCUGAUGCAGCCAUGCCGCGUGUAUGAAGAAGGCCUUCGGGUUGUAAAGUACUUUCAGCGGGGAGGAAGGCGGUGAAGUUAAUAGCUUCACCGAUUGACGUUACCCGCAGAAGAAGCACCGGCUAACUCCGUGCCAGCAGCCGCGGUAAUACGGAGGGUGCAAGCGUUAAUCGGAAUUACUGGGCGUAAAGCGCACGCAGGCGGUCUGUCAAGUCGGAUGUGAAAUCCCCGGGCUUAACCUGGGAACUGCAUUCGAAACUGGCAGGCUAGAGUCUUGUAGAGGGGGGUAGAAUUCCAGGU
rnacentral:rRNA from 1 species